GAAGACUCCAGGAAAGGUAAACAACUUGCCCUCAUAGACCAAGAGGGAGGGCAAAUUAUUAAAUGUGCUACUAACAUUCCCCCAUCAUGUAAGUGGUAUGAAGUAGCCUGUACUGUACAAAUGUAUACCUUCACUAAAGGUGCUCCCUUUCCUUGGUUUGCACUAGUAAUAGGUUUAACUGUAGGACAAAUAUUGCUCAAUAUAAUCCUUAGAUGUUGUUGUUAUAAAAUUGGUCCUUCCUCGUGUUUAUGCCAAAAUAAAUGGUGUUGCUUGUACUAAUGUUACAUAUGCUGCCUGGCAAGAGUCAUAUUUGUAAAACAAUUGCAGAUGCUCCAAGAAGCAAGGGGUGGAUUGUGAUGGCCAGAACUAAAGGGGUUAA